UUAUUGUCGACAGAAAAGACGCAUCGCUGCACUCGGGCUGGCACGACUUGGAAAGUGGUGACGCGAAAUGAACCGGAAAGGAUGGACCGUGAAGGCACUGCGAAUGGAUUUACGGUGCGGUGGCAACGGGAGCGGCUGGUGCACGUCGACCAAGAUGAUCUGCGUUCUCUUCUUCGCUGUGCUGCUGCACGAGGAAGCUGUGCACAGUAAUCGAUUGUUCGAGGCGGACACCUUCGAAACCCGCCGGGCGCCGGACAACGAGCCGUACUUCGACACGACGAUCCCGUCGAACGUGACGGGCCUCGUCGGAACGACCAUUCAGCUCGUCUGCAAAGUGAAGAACCUGGGAAAUAGGACCGUGUCGUGGGUGAGGCACAGGGACAUCCAUUUGCUGACCAGCGGACGCUACACGUACACGAGCGAUCAGCGUUUCCAGGCGGUGCACACGCCGCACUCCGAGGAAUGGAUACUGAGGAUACGGUACCCCCAGAAAAGAGACUCCGGUAUCUACGAAUGCCAGAUAUCCACCACGCCGCCCGUCGGACAUUUUGUACAGCUCACCGUGGUUGAACCAGUGACGGAGAUCGCCGGGGGCCCGGAUCUCUUCAUCAACAAGCACAGCACGAUAAACUUGACGUGCCUGGUCAAAUACGCGCCCGAGCCGCCGAGCGCGAUCAGGUGGAGCCACGAUCGCGAGGAGAUUAACUUCGACACGCCAAGGGGCGGCAUCAGUCUGGUAACGGAAAGGGGACCCGUGACCACCAGCCGUCUGCUCAUUCAGAGAGCGACCAAGGAGGACUCCGGCCUCUACACGUGCUCGCCGAGCAACACUCUUCCGUACAGCGCGCGAGUCCACAUCGUCAACGAACAUCCAGCAGCGAUGCACCACGGCGCAAGCCGAAAAAUAUCUGCGGACCCGACCCAUUUCAAUCUUCUGCUUCUUCUUCUCCUCCUCUCGGCGAUCGUGUAACCGUUCGACGACCCCCGGCGACCGCUCGAGAAUCAUUGUAAAUAGUUAAUCGGAUAACGUCCACUUUUUAUAAGAGUCACGAUCAUUCCCUUUCCACGUCUCCUCCUGCGCAGCCUCGAACAACGCUACGCGGAAUUGUGUUCGAGUUACGGAUAAAAGCUUCUUCCUCAGUCCCGAGACGUCACUGUUGCUUCGUUGCACGACACCGCUUCGCGAUGAAAUUAUUCACCGAGUAAUCGUGCCGGCGCAUUCCGCUGGAAUAGAAAUGAAAAUAACCACUUCGUCAACCGUCGAGGCAGACCUUUGUCCCGUUCAUCGACGCCUCGCGUCGACCGCGAUGCUUCGAGCAGCUUUCCCCGCGUUCGCCUGUGAAAGGAUGCGAGCUAGAGUUCGAUCGUCCCGAUCAGCGCCACUUUUCAUUCGCAAUGGCGGCUCUCCCGUUGCGCCCGAGGGACCAGGAAACUUGGGAGAAAUCGGAUGGUCCGAUUACCGUGAUCGACGGAUGCGAAAGUGAAAAUCGAACGCGAGGGAAGAGGACGCGCGCACUGCCAACGAUCUUCGUGCCGAUCCGCUGUCGCGCAUGCCGAGUUUCCGGCAGCGUUCUCAGUUUUCCCCGGGUGUGUCCGUUGUAGCCGCAUUAGCGCAGAGAACGCCCUUUGAACGAGUAGAAUAAAGAGACGAGCGCGAUGCUCGCGGAAGCAAGUGUUCAGAGUACAAAGCAAAAGGAUCAUGUUGUUUCGCCGAAUGGUAGGUACUGGCAGCGAACCUGCGAGCCCCGACGCGUCGCGGAGUCUUUCAUCCGAACCGUAACAAUUAGCGAGUAAACUCUUUCAUUGUACUUCACCGUGACUCGCCCGUAACGAUAUAUCGCUGUAUCCGUAAGCAAUUUUUAUAGAACCCACCGGAGAGGAUCGACGUCUCGUAGUUUGUAUAAAGAUGCGGCGGCUCGCGCCGCUAGAUGGAGUCUUCGCUGUGUAAGAGAUUUUUUACGGAUGUAAAUGAAUAAGGGAACUCUCUCACCUCUUCGUUGUAACGACACACGUAGGCUAAACAGAUAGUCUGGUAGGCGGAACACGGUUCUUGGAACCGAUCGAACGGAAUCACCGGUUCGUUCGAGACGAAUCGGCGCACAGUGCGGACGAACGGUUUUCUGGACAGAACUCGGUAAUUUGACGAGUAUGAUUGAUGCAAAGCAAUGCUUCGGAUAAAACUUGUAAGGUUUAGAGGUGAACACGUGAUGGUUAUAUUUUUGUUAUAUUAGUCAGAUAUUAUGAAGUUCUUUUAACACUAGAAUUAUCAGAUGGGUCGAAGUCACGCAUUCCUCAUUUACUCUUUCAUAAUAAUUGAAAGCAUAUAAACGCUUCUUCAAGAGAUGAUUAAAAUAGUUGAUUUUUUAAUAUACAGAUUUAAAUAAAAUUUAACUGACAUCUUAAUCAACGCACUUCUAGUUCAACUGCUCGGUACUUCUAAUGUCAACGACAAUGGAUAGUUUGCGGUUCAAUUCAGUUUUGAUUUUUGAAAAUCAUCGUGUAUAGCAGAACAUCUUAGCAACAGAUCGAUAACGUUCAAUUGUUCUCACACGAACAAUCGAAUCAUCAAGUACUGUCCAGAUGAGCCACUGCGCGGCGAGUCAUUCCUUUCGAGUGAUUUUCGGGGAGCAUUGUAAAU